rnacentral:tRNA from 1 species
ACACUUGUAGUUUAAAGGCAAAAUAACAGACUCCAAAUCUGUAAGAUCAAGGUUCAAAUCCUUGCAAGUGUG